GGUGUUUUGGCUCAGUGGUAGAGCACUUAUCUUGCAUGCAUGCACUGGGUUCGAUCCUCAGCACCA
rnacentral:tRNA from 1 species